rnacentral:lncRNA from 10 species
UGUCUUGUCAAAAGCUUUGAUCAAACAAAUGAAAUCAAAACAAAGAACACUUGCCCUCUUCAGUUUUUCUUAACUUACUUAUUUGUAAAUAUCUCCUUUGCGAUACAAAGCUAAGAAGUCAAAAAUCUCCUUGUCCUUUGAACCUAAGACAGACCUUAUCAACUGACUGAUUAGAUGAUACUCUCAAGGACUAUGGCCAUUAUUUUAAUCAUCUUUCAUGAGAGAUACGGGGAGGAAAUGUUUCUAUAUUGAUUAGGGGUGUGUACCUUCAUACGUUUUACACUAUCACCUGAGAGUUUCAAAACUGUGAAAAAUUGAAAUCACAUGGAAAAAAAGGGUUUUCAGAAUUCAUGCAGUAGAGUUAGUGUACUGUUCAAAAUAUGGCACCCUCACCCACUUAGCUGAAUGAUCUUGGACAAACAAUACACCCCUCUAUGUUCCAUGUUCUUCUCUGAAAAUUGGAAUCACUCAUCUGGCUGUGGGGAGGAUUCAUUGCAUUGCCAGAUGUAAACUGUUAACAUCGUGCCUGGCACUCAGUGAACGGAGGGUGAAUAUUUACCAUUGUUAUUGACAUACCCACAUCAGUAACAAUAACAAAUUUGGAGUCAGGUUCAGGGGCUUUAUCAUUCCUUUUGUUUGCCAGUCAACAUGGAAGCUGACCAUCUACUGCAGUUCCUUCCAAACAUGAAGUGUAAAGAGUGCAUGUGUAUAACUCAAUCAGAAUAGCCCUAAGUGCGAUUGUCCAGAAUAGAAUACUGUGCUCUUAGGGGCUCACGCCUGUAGUCCCA